UGAACGCUGGCGGCGUGCCUAAUACAUGCAAGACGAGCGAACAGAUGAGGAGCUUGCUCCUCUGACGUUAGCGGCGGACGGGUGAGUAACACGUGGAUAACCUACCUAUAAGACUGGGAUAACUUCGGGAAACCGGAGCUAAUACCGGAUAAUAUAUUGAACCGCAUGGUUCAAUAGUGAAAGACGGUUUUGCUGUCACUUAUAGAUGGAUCCGCGCCGCAUUAGCUAGUUGGUAAGGUAACGGCUUACCAAGGCAACGAUGCGUAGCCGACCUGAGAGGGGGGUCGCCAACACGGAAGCGGAGCCGCGGCCCAGCCCCCGAGGGGGGGAGCAGGGAGGGAAUCUUCGGAAAGGGGCGAAGGCUUGAGGGAGCACGGCGGGGGGAGGGAGGAGGGUUGUCGGAGCGUAAAACUUUUUUAUAGGGAAAAAAAAAAGGGGAAAGUAACUAUGCACGUUUGGAGGGAACUUAAUAAAAAGGCCGGGGUAAGCUAGGG
rnacentral:rRNA from 1 species